UACGUAGGGUGCGAGCGUUGUCCGGAAUUACUGGGCGUAAAGAGCUCGUAGGCGGUCUGUCGCGUCGGCUGUGAAAACCCGAGGCUCAACCUCGGGCCUGCAGUCGAUACGGGCAGACUAGAGUGCUGUAGGGGAGACUGGAAUUCCUGGUGUAGCGGUGAAAUGCGCAGAUAUCAGGAGGAACACCGGUGGCGAAGGCGGGUCUCUGGGCAGUAACUGACGCUGAGGAGCGAAAGCGUGGGGAGCAAACAGG
rnacentral:rRNA from 1 species